rnacentral:rRNA from 1 species
GAUGAACGCUAGCGGCAGGCCUAAUACAUGCAAGACGAACGGUAAAUAUUAUAGCAAUAUGAUAUGAGAGUGUCGUACGGGUGCGUAACACGUAUGCAACCUACCCUUUACUAGGAGGAGUAGCUCAGGGAAACCUUGGGAACUUGAAUACCCUCCAUCAGUACUAUGAUGUGGCAUCAUGUUAUAGUUAAAACUGCGGUGGUAAGGAUGGGCAUGCGUAUGAUUAGCUAGUUGGUAGUGUAACGGACUACCAAGGCGAUGAUCAUUAGGGGACCUGAGAGGGUGAUCCCCCCACACUGGCACUGAGAUACGGGCCAGACUCCUAUGGGAGGCAGCAGUAGGGAAUAUUGGUCAAUGGGUGCGAGCCUGAACCAGCCAUGCCGCGUGCAGGAAGACGGCCUUCUGGGUUGUAAAACUGCUUUUUGACAGGGAUAAAAUAUCCUUGCGAGGAGAAUUGAAGGUACCUGUCGAAUAAGCCACGGCUAACUACGUGCCAGCAGCCGCGGUAAUACGUAGGUGGCGAGCGUUGUCUGGAUUUAUUGGGUUUAAAGGGUGCGUAGGCGGCUUAUUAAGUCAGUGCUGAAAUA